CAGCCGCCGCGGUAAUACCGGCGGCCCGAGUGGCGGUCACUAUUAUUGGGCUUAAAGCGUCCGUAGCCGGGUUGGGAAGUCCUCCGGGAAAUCUGGCCGCUUAACGGUCAGAAUGCCGGAGGAUACUCCCAGCCUAGGGAGCGGGAGAGGCCGAGGGUAUUCCCGGGGUAGGGGUGAAAUCCUAUAAUCCCGGGAGGACCACCUGUGGCGAAGGCGCUCGGCUGGAACGCGUCCGACGGUGAGGGACGAAGGCCAGGGGAGCAAACCGGAUUAGAUACCCGGGUAGUCCUGGCUGUAAACGAUGCGGACGUUGUGUCGGACAAGCUAUGAGCUUGUCCGGUGCCGGAGGGAAACCGUUAAGUCCGCCGCCUGGGGAGUACGGCCGCAAGGCUGAAACUUAAAGGAAUUGGCGGG
rnacentral:rRNA from 1 species